GGAGGGAUCAUUACACAAAUAUGAAGGCGGGCUGGAACCUCUCGGGGUUACAGCCUUGCUGAAUUAUUCACCCUUGUCUUUUGCGUACUUCUUGUUUCCUUGGUGGGUUCGCCCACCACUAGGACAAACAUAAACCUUUUGUAAUUGCAAUCAGCGUCAGUAACAAAUUAAUAAUUACAACUUUCAACAACGGAUCUCUUGGUUCUGGCAUCGAUGAAGAACGCAGCGAAAUGCGAUAAGUAGUGUGAAUUGCAGAAUUCAGUGAAUCAUCGAAUCUUUGAACGCACAUUGCGCCCUUUGGUAUUCCAAAGGGCAUGCCUGUUCGAGCGUCAUUUGUACCCUCAAGCUUUGCUUGGUGUUGGGCGUCUUGUCUCUAGCUUUGCUGGAGACUCGCCUUAAAGUAAUUGGCAGCCGGCCUACUGGUUUCGGAGCGCAGCACAAGUCGCACUCUCUAUCAGCAAAGGUCUAGCAUCCAUUAAGCCUUUUUUUCAACUUUUGACCUCGGAUCAGGUAGGGAUACCCGCU
rnacentral:rRNA from 1 species